rnacentral:rRNA from 1 species
AAUAGAUACCCUGGUAGUCCACGCCGUAAACUAUGAUUACUCGAUGUCGGCGAUAUACUGUCGGUGUCCAAGCGAAAGUGAUAAGUAAUCCACCUGGGGAGUACGAUCGCAAGGUUGAAACUCAAAGGAAUUGACGGGGGCCCGCACAAGCGGUGGAGCAUGUGGUUUAAUUCGAUGAUACGCGAGGAACCUUACCUGGGCUUGAAUGCAUUAUGACCGUCCCGGAAACGGGACUUUCUUCGGACAGAAUGCAAGGUGCUGCAUGGUUGUCGUCAGCUCGUGCUGUGAGGUGUCGGGUUAAGUCCCAUAACGAGCGCAACCCCUAUUCUUAGUUGCCAGCGGGUAAUGCCGGGGACUCUAAGAAACUGCCCGCGUAAGCGGUGAGGAAGGUGGGGAUGACGUCAAAUCAUCACGGCCCUUACGUCCAGGGCUACACACGUGCUACAAUGGUCAGUACAAAGGGCAGCUACCUGGUGACAGGAUGCUAAUCUCGAAAACUGAUCUCAGUUCGGAUCGAAGU